UACAUGUGGGGCAAGCGUUGUUCGGAAUUACUGGGCCUAAAGGGUGCGUAGGCGGCUUGUUAAGUCAGGGGUGAAAGUUUUCGGCCCAACCGGAAAAUUGCCUUUGAUACUGGCGAGCUGGAGUGCGUGAGGGGUGACCGGAACGAGUGGUGUAGCGGUGAAAUGCGUAGAUAUCACUCGGAAGGCCAACGGCGAAGGCAGGUCACUGGUGCGCAACUGACGCUGAGGCACGAAAGCGUGGGGAGCGAACAGG
rnacentral:rRNA from 1 species